AGAGUUUGAUCUGGCUCAGAACGAACGCUGGCGGCGUGGAUAAGACAUGCAAGUCGGACGGGAUUUUCCGUUGUAGCAAUACGAUGGAAAGUCUAGUGGCGAACGGGUGCUUAACACGUGGGCAACCUGCCAGGAAGUGGGGGAUAGCUCGCCGAAAGGCGAAUUAAUACCGCAUGUGAUUAGAGAGGACAUCCUUUCGAAAUUAAAGUCGGGGCAACCUGACGCUUCUUGUGGGGCCCGCGGCCUAUCAGCUAGUUGGUGAGGUAAUGGCUCACCAAGGCUUUGACGGGUAGCUGGUCUGAGAGGACGACCAGCCACACUGGGACUGAGACACGGCCCAGACACCUACGGGUGGCAGCAGUCGAGAAUUUUUGACAAUGGGGGAAACCCUGAUCGAGCGACGCCGCGUGGAGGAUGAAGGUCUUCGGAUUGUAAACUCCUGUCAUUGGGGAACAAGGUGCAUACGUUAACUGCGUGUGCAUUGAUAGUACCCGAAGAGGAAGAGACGGCUAACUCUGUGCCAGCAGCCGCGGUAAUACAGAGGUCUCAAGCGUUGUUCGGAUUCAUUGGGCGUAAAGGGUGCGUAGGCGGCGCGGUAAGUCGGGUGUGAAAUCUCGGAGCUUAACUCCGAAACUGCAUUCGAUACUGCCGUGCUUGAGGACUGGAGAGGAGACUGGAAUUUACGGUGUAGCGGUGAAAUGCGUAGAUAUCGUAAGGAAGACCAGUGGCGAAGGCGGGUCUCUGGACAGUUCCUGACGCUGAGGCACGAAGGUCAGGGGAGCAAACGGGAUUAGAUACCCUAGUAGUCC
rnacentral:rRNA from 1 species